AUUGCAGGUAAAGUUGUCAGAGAUGGAAAAUACAGGUGGAAAGAAAAGAGAAAAUCAGAUGGCAGAGAAAGGUCUAACACAUAGACAAGAUGAGACAACACAGUUGGAAGAA